rnacentral:lncRNA from 1 species
CCGAAUUCGAUAGCCUAUAAUUUAACACACAAUUAUUAACACAUACAAGUCCAUCUAUUGAUUAAAAAUCCUUACAUGUGAAUCUUGCAAGAUUAGAGUCCCAUUUUGUGCUGGUUCAUGCAGCAGGCCGCGGAGCCUGGUGCUGGUACAAAUUAGGGCCAUUACUAAGAUCAUCAGCCCAUAAUGUCACAGCUCUUGAUUUGGCCGCCUCGGGAAUCAAUCCGAAGCCAGUGCUUGAUGUUUCGUUUGUAUCUGAUCAUUUCAGGCCUUUGACUGAAUUUACGGCUUCGUUACCCUGACAAGAGAAAAUGAUCCUCGUUGGCCAUAACUAUGAAGGAUUGGCCAUUUCUCAUGUCAUGGAGAGGUUCCCGGAGAAAAUAUCUGCUGCGGUUUAUGUUGCACCCUCAAUGCUUGUUCCAUACACCAAUUUUUCCACCUUUUCCCAAGAGGUAAGCCUCGUAUUGCUCUAUUAAGUUUCAUUUUAUCCUGCAAAAGUACGUUUUGGCUUUUAAAAUUUUGGAUAUUCAUAUUACAAUAGUGAACCUUACACUAGGGAUCCAAGUACAUUUCGGAAAAACUUUAUAUCUCCAUCCGAUCGAGGUAAGGAAAGACAUACAACUUAAUUUCCGUACGUAAUAUAAAAAACGAGAUGAAUUUGCUCAUAGUCAUAGGGUCCUUUAAUUUGUUGCAGAAUUGGACUCUGGCAACAAUAAUAGCGAAAUAGCGGAAGCUUAUAGGAAAGAACAAAAUUUCACAAAACUCAAACUUGUUGAUUUAAGAUAUCAAAAUCAACUACCAAGAGAGAAUAAUUUUGAGAAACUUUUCGAAACUCUUUAUUUAAUUCAAGUUUAAUUAAUUACCACAAGGAGGUUCUUGUUCAGUUGCUGGAUGUUGCUAAAAUGAAUUCUUCAUUAUAAGUAACUUUCCAAAUUUUUCUACAAGAAUUAUUCACAAUGAGUUUGGAAUCAUUUUCAUGCAUCAGGUUAGUAAAAUUCACAAUUUUCUUGAUUUAUGAGUAUCCUUGUCUUCAAAGAUUAGUAUAAUAUCGUUUUUGGAAUGACUAUUUUCAAAUUUCUAGAUUGCACGUCAUCUGUAAUUGUUAUUUUUCACAUUUCUAACUUCUGACUAUUCUAAACAAAUAUUUAUAUGCACAAGAUUAGCUUCACGUCAAGAGAUACAAUUGACUAUCUCGAACUGAUAUGUCAUAUGACAUAUGUAUAUUCAAACUAAAUGUUAACAAUAAAUAAAAAUUAAAACGAAGAAAAGUUUGAUGAUAUAAUAAAUCUGCUGCAGGUUUGCACUCAUAAUAACCAAAUUUCAACUCAAAAAAGUUGAGAGAAAAAUAAAUAAAUAAAAACUCUCUUGAUGGAGAAAUGGAACAAGAAAUCAAGGGAGAAUACCAAUAUACACAACAGAAGGAACAGUGUGAUUUAAUAUAUUUGUAGUUUGAUAUAUAACAGUGCCAAAUGCAUCGACAAAGACAAUGAUAAACUGGAUUGCAAACUUCAGUACUUGUAUGAAGAUUCCCAGCAUCUGAAUCACCAUUUCUGCAACUCUUUUUCUACUUAUUUAAGUUGCUUUUUCUCCUAUUCUCCACUUCUUCUUCCCACCUUUCCACUCAUGUAAGUUAACCAAUGUAUA